UGGUAAUCCCAUGUGCUGGGGGAGGGACCUCAUGGGAGGUGUUUGGAUAAUGGGGGCGGUUCCCCCAUGCUGUUCUCAUGAUAGUAGGUGAGUUCUCAUAAGAUCUGAUGGUUUUAUAAGAGGCUCUUCCCUGUUUGCUCUGCACUUUUCUCUUCUGCUGCCUUAUGAAGAAAGAUGUGUUGCUUUCCUUUCCACCAUGAUGAGGUUCAUACCUGCAUUAUCAGCAGCAGCCAUUUCCCAGUGGACCAACCUGUCUUCAUCCAGGGAAGGCUGGGACACUUGCCAUGCUUCAAAGGAGCCACAAGCUUUCCAAAAGGAGCGGGAACAGCAGAAUGUAUCACGGUUGUGAUUUAUUCUCCAGUUGUGACUGACGAAUUAUUACAGCAAAUGACUUUGGGAAUUUAGAUCUGCUCCUGGGACUGUGCCUCGACCUAGAAUGCUUCUCAGGACCCUGAAUCAACUGGAUGAGAACUUAUGGGGACCUACCAGACUAUUUAAUAUCUUGCUUCAAACCUACUAAGAAUCCUAACUUCAAGCAUGGCCACUGCUCUGAAUCUCCUGUACCUGUGUCCCAUUUACCACCCCUAAGAUAAAAAGACUGACUGAUCCAAGUAAAGCUUGAGUUCAUGUCCACCCACCCUCAACAUCCAGGUUGGGAUUGCUGAGCACAACCCUAAGCUCACUGUCCCUCUCCAGUUCUGCUCUUCUCCCUUACUAAGAUACCAAGGCAACUACACUGUUGAGGUCCCAGAAGCCUCUCUGCCAAAUCAUUCUAAGAUAGGGAGAAGAGAAUCUGUGCAGUGAUUUGGGACAAUGAAUCUGUUGGGUGAAUAUAUCUGCUGCAUGCUGGGUCCCUGAGAGGCCCUGUGUCAUUUGGAGAGAUAGACAUCCUCUAUGGCCCAACUUAGGAGACCCAUCCUCUGGAGAUUUGCUUCAGCCACGCUAACUAAACACGCUCAUUGCCCCUUGAUUUCUUCUUUGAGGCCCUCAUAGGCAGUGAUCAAACAAUCAUUUGCAUAAUUUACAUUAUGACUUGCACACUCAGGUGAGUCCUCCACUCUACCAAGGGCAAGGGCUGUAUUUAAUUUGUUCACCUCUGUAUCCCUAGUGCCUGACACACAGAAAAUGCUUAAUAGAUGUUAGAUUAAUGAAUGAAUGAAUGAAUGAAGUAGCUGGCUGAGAAUUGUAUUAGAUUAACCAUGAUGCCUAAAUACAUAGUGUAAAUUAUUUCAUUCUAGAUUAAGCUUAAAAGUGUAAGAGAGGCAACUGUGUCACCUGAUUGAAAUAAUGAUUUGUUGCUAAUUAGUUAGAAAUAAAGAAAAUCAUGCAGAUAUGAUGAACUAUUUGACAUUUGGCAAAUUACCAUCUCUAAGUUUAUUUCUUUGCCUGUAAAAUAAAGAUACUAGAACUUACCUCAUGAGAAUAAAUGAAGGCUAAGUGGAUAAUAUACAUAAAAUGCUUAAGAUAUGUACCCAGCAUACCUUAAAUGCUUUGUAGCCAUUAUUAUUUACAUAUAUUUAUUUACAAUUAAAAAUUAUUUAAAAAGCGAAACAAAACCUAUAAUAAGUUUUAUUUUCUUAAUGCUUUGUCUUAGACUAGUUAGGCUGCUACAAAAGAAUAGCAAAGACUGGGUGGCUUAUAAAUAACAGAAAUUUAUUUCCCAAAGUUCUGGAGGCUGGAAAGUCCAAGGUCAAGGUGCCAGCAGAUUCAGUGUCUGGUGAGUGCCUGAUUCCAAGUUCAUAGAUAGAAGUCACCUCAUUGAGUCCUCACAUGGCAGAAGGGAUCAUGAAAUUUUCUGGAGUCUCUUUUAUAAGAAUAUUAAUACUAUUCAUGAGGGCUCUAUUCUCAUGAUGUACCUCCCAGAGGCCCUACCUCCUAGUAUCCUCAGACUGGGGGCUAGGAUUUCAACAUAUGAAUUUUGGGAGGACACAAACAUUCAGUCUAUAGCAUUCCACCCCUGAUAUCCCCAAAUUUAUGUACUUCUCACAUGCAAAAUACAUUCCUUCUAUCCAAACAGCCCCAAAAGUCUUCGCCUGUUCCAGCAUCAACUCAAAAAUCUAAAGUACAAAGUCUUAUCUAAAUAUUAUCUAAAUCAGAUUUUGGUGAGAUUCAAGAUACAAUUUAUUCUGAGGCAAAUUCCUCUCUAGCUGUGAAACUGUGAAAUCAAAUGUGUUGUGUGCCUCUCAGAAACAAAUCUGGGAUAUGCAUAAGAUAGACACAUCCAAUUCCAACAGGAUAAAUAAAUUGUAUCUUCACCAAUGGGAAAUGAGUCAUAACAACAAAGUUCAGCCAGCCAUUGGUGUAAACAUUUCCUCACAAAUUAGUGAGAAUUCCUGGAGCUCAGGCUUAACACAUAGGAACACCAUAAAGACUGAUUGGGUUUCAAUAAAACAUCAACAGUCCUCAUGAAAGAAGAAGGCAAACCUGACGAGCUAUGUGACUUUUGGCAAAUUACC
rnacentral:lncRNA from 1 species